UACGGGGGGGGCAAGCGUUGUUCGGAAUUACUGGGCGUAAAGGGCUCGUAGGGGGCCAACUAAGUCAGACGUGAAAUCCCUCGGCUUAACUGGGGAACUGCGUCUGAUACUGGAUGGCUAGAGUUUGGGAGAGGGAUGCGGAAUUCCAGGUGUAGCGGUGAAAUGCGUAGAUAUCUGGAGGAACACCGGUGGCGAAGGCGGCAUCCUGGACCAACACUGACGCUGAGGAGCGAAAGCCAGGGGAGCAAACGGG
rnacentral:rRNA from 1 species